AGCAGCGUGGCUCAGUGGAAAGAGCACAGGCUUGGGAGGUCAUGGGUUCGAAUCCCGGCUCUGCCA
rnacentral:tRNA from 1 species